CAGGUGAUUGCAUCCAGAAAUCUUUAGACGAUAUCUCACAAAAUUCAGCCAUUCGAAAUGACGUUCCUUCACAACAAACAGGCUCAAAACAAAAGAAUUCUGAUACUGGAAAUACGUUGUCUAGCAAUGAAAGCACGUCUGUUGUCGAUGAAUUGAAAGGUGAUUGCAUCCAGAAAUCUUUAGCGAUAUCUCACAAAAUUCAGCCAUUCGAAAUGACGUUCCUUCACAACAAACAGGCUCAAAACAAAAGAAUUCUGAUACUGGAAAUACGUUGUCUAGCAAUGAAAGCACGUCUGUUGUCGAUGAAUUGAAAGGUAUUGUACAUCAAUCAA